rnacentral:rRNA from 1 species
CCUACGGGUGGCAGCAGUCGAGAAUCAUUCACAAUGGGGGAAACCCUGAUGGUGCGACGCCGCGUGGGGGAAUGAAGGUCUUCGGAUUGUAAACCCCUGUCAUGUGGGAGCAAAUCAAAAAGAUAGUACCACAAGAGGAAGAGACGGCUAACUCUGUGCCAGCAGCCGCGGUAAUACAGGGGUCUCAAGCGGUGUUCGGAAUCACUGGGCGUAAAGCGUGCGUAGGCUGGUUCGUAAAGCGUGUGGGAAAGGCGCGGGGUCAAACCGCGGAGGGCAGAUGAUACGGCGAGACUGGAGUAAUGGAGAGGGAAGCGGAAUUCGCGGUGUAGCAGUGAAAUGCGUAGAUAUCGCGAGGAACGCUCGUUGCGAAGGCGGGUUCCUGGACAUUAACUGACGCUGAGGCACGAAGGCCAGGGGAGCGAAAGGGAUUAGAUACCCGAGUAGUC